rnacentral:lncRNA from 1 species
UUUCAUGUGCCUGUUCAAUACCUGUCUGUCUCCUUUGGACAUUAAGCAAGAGUGUAAUCUUGAUCAGCUAGUCCAGAGCCACGGAAGUGUUGAUUUUGAAAGCUAUGCUUCGUAUGUAUUCCUGGCCUGUUUUCAAGAGACAGUGUGGGUGUAAGACAGUGCUUAGUUUUAAAAUGUGCAAGCUCAGUAACCUCUGCCUACUCCAGUUUAUCCUAAAGUGUGUGCCAUGGAAAAAUUACCCUAAAGUGUGUGCCACAGAAAAAUGGACAUUCUUAAGAAUUUCAUUGGAGAGAGUGAGGGGUGGAUUGGGGUUUGGGAUUGGCAUAUGCACACUGUGAUAUAUGGAAUGUCUGGCCAACGGGAACCUGCUGUAUAGCACAGAGAACGUUACCUGAUAUUCAGUGAUAAUCUAUGUGGGAAAAGAAUCUGAAAAAGAAUGGAUGCGUGCAUAUGUGUAACUGAAUUACUUUGCUGUACAGCAGUAAUGAUCAAAACAUCAUAAAUCAACUAUACUUCAUGGGCUGAAACUUUAGCUAUCAGUGAACACGGUCAAUGUGCAAUUGCUCUUUGGCUUAAAUUGCCCUGAUUUUCAGUGGUGUUGCUCUGUGAUUAUUGCUGCAUUGUGUUGCAUCCUGGUAUAGUCAUGGUUCUAGAGAAGAUAUGUUUCUUGAAUGCCUCAGGUCAAAAAGCUUUGAAUAACUUUUUUGUUGUUCUGCAUAAACCCUGGCACAGUUCAGGGCAAAAUCCUCAUUAAUCUUUUUCCUAACACACAAGAUUAUGCACAGGAUUAUUUAGCUUUACCUUUGGUCCAGUGAUUCUCAAUCAGAGGUAAUUUUAAACCCUUCUCCAAAGACACUGUGUUUGGAAACAUGUUUGGCUGUCACAACUGAGGGCAGUUGUCACUGACAUCGAGUGGGUAGAGGUCAAGGAUACACAAGACAGCCCCCUGCAACUAAGCAUUAUCCAGCCCCCAAAGUCAAUAAUCCCAAGGUUGAGAAACUCUGCUCUAGUGAUAGAGCAUAGCAGAACUAAUUAAGAUACCUCUGACCUGGCUCCCUCUUCUAUGCUCCAAUUCCUUCUUCCAUAAAGGACAAAAGAAAUUUAGUGCUGAAUACACAAAGUAUUUUUUAAUUUUAGCCAUCAAUAUUUUUCAAACUCGCUCAGCAGUACUAAUAUCUUUAAUUGGUAAAUACACAUGCUUAUUGAAACUCUGAAACAAUACAUUGUAAACUCUAUAUUUAAAGCAGUAAAAAGAAUUUGGGCUGUUAGGAGUUUGGAGAAAAUCAGCAAUCUUUAAAAUCCUUGGCAAACAAAAACUGUAUUAUACUUUAGGUACAAAAGUCACAAGAGCUUCUUCUAUGCAUUUGAGAAGGGAGAGAACUCAAUGCUUGGCAUUAUUUUAUAUUUGCCAAGAACCUGGGAGGUCCUAUGGUUUUAUUUCCUAGGGCAGAUGAGCCAAGAUACCGGUUUCUCUCUAAACCAAAAAACAAUUCUGGACCUGAUAUGGAGCUAAAACCUGGCAGUAUGAUGUGCCAGAAAAAAUUAAGAUCGCUUUUUCUAUCCAACAAUCAGGUGCAUUUGCUGUUGCCCAGCAUCCACUACCCCCUCUUACCAACAUCCUGGAUUUCCUGUUAGGAAAUUAUUAACAUUGACUCUAGUCUAAUGAGACCAUGCUCGUCCCUAGCCAAGGCGUGGGCAUGCUAGCCAAGUUAGGCCAAGCCAAUAGAUACUCCUUGCGUGAUAUUUCUGUCUCAAGUAAAGUGACAAAGACCUUAACAGUAGCUAGAUUCAUUCACCCCAAAGGUGACAUCCUGAAUAGACAGUUUUCACUGCAAGACCACCCUUUUAGUUUUGUUUCCUUGAGACCUCAAAGUAUUUUGCAUGCUUAAAAAAACCCUCGCAAGCCUGCAUUGCAGAAAUACCUACUCUUGUUCUCCUAUGCGUUCUACCUCUUUUUUCCUUCCCAACACUCAUUUUGUUUUUGAAUCAUAACCAACAGAGUGCUUAGCUCCUGACACUCUACAAAGAGUCUUGAGACAAUGUCAAAAGAGAGAAAACGCUACAUUGUUUGCAGACACGCCUACUUUUGGUGAACCUUGUUUCCCAGGAGUGAAGAAACAGUUGCAAGUUUCCUUCAUAUGUGGUAAGAAAAACAGGGUACUCUUGCCACUUAACAAGUUACUGUGAUAAGGUUACAAUAUUAUAUCUUACCAUAAUAAAAAUAGCUAAAAUAUGUAUAACAUUUUUCAGUUUAUAAUUUUUUAAACUUUUCAGCAUUAUUGUUACAAUUUCUUCUAAGAGCAACUUUUGAAAUGCUGUUUUUUUUUUCUUUGUCUUUUUGCCAUUUCUAGGGCCGCUCCAGCAGCAUAUGGAGGUUCCCAGGCUAGGGGUCGAAUCGGAGCUGGAGCCACCGGCCUACGCCAGAGCCACAGCAACGCGGGAUCCGAGCCGUGUCUGCAACCUACACCCCAGCUCACGGCAACACCGGAUCGUUAACCCACUGAGCAAGGGCAGGGACCAAACCCGCAACCUCAUGGUUCCUAGUCGGAUUCGUUAACCACUGCACCACGACGGGAACUCCCUAGGAGCAACUUUUGAAAUGCUUCUUACCUAACAUAACAUAACAUAAUAGCAAAGUGCUAUUUAGAAAACAGAGCAGAAACUGACACAACACGGUAAAUCAACUAUACUCUAAUU